rnacentral:rRNA from 1 species
UACGUAGGGUGCGAGCGUUGUCCGGAAUUAUUGGGCGUAAAGAGCUCGUAGGCGGUGUGUCGCGUCGGCCGUGAAAACCUGGGGCUCAACUCUGGGCGUGCGGUCGAUACGGGCAUCACUUGAGUUCGGCAGGGGAGACUGGAAUUCCUGGUGUAGCGGUGAAAUGCGCAGAUAUCAGGAGGAACACCGGUGGCGAAGGCAGGUCACUGGGCCGCAACUGACGCUGAGGAGCGAAAGCAUGGGGAGCGAACAGG